GACGAACGCUGGCGGCGUGCUUAACACAUGCAAGUCGAACGGAAAGGCCCUGCUUUUGCUGGGUGCUCGAGUGGCGAACGGGUGAGUAACACGUGAGUAACCUGCCCUUGACUUUGGGAUAACUUCAGGAAACUGGGGCUAAUACCGGAUAGGAGCUCCUGCUGCAUGGUGGGGGUUGGAAAGUUUCGGCGGUGGGGGAUGGACUCGCGGCUUAUCAGCUUGUUGGGGGAGUAGUGGCUUACCAAGGCUUUGACGGGUAGCCGGCCUGAGAGGGUGACCGGCCACAUUGGGACUGAGAUACGGCGCAGACUGCUACGGGAGGCAGCAGGGGGGAAUAUUGCGCAACGGGGGGAAGCCUGAGACAGCAGCGCCGCGUGCGGGAUGACGGCCUUCGGGUUGUAAACCGAUUUCGAAUGUGACGAAGCGUGAGUGACGGUAAUGGGUAAGGAAGCAACGGCUAACUACGUG
rnacentral:rRNA from 1 species